rnacentral:piRNA from 1 species
UGGACUGCGAAGGGUGAGAAAUCGGA